rnacentral:tRNA from 1 species
GGACCCAUAGUUCAAUGGUUAGAGCCCCCGUCUCAUAAACGGGUAGUUGUAGGUUCAAGUCCUACUGGGUCCACCA